rnacentral:tRNA from 1 species
GGAAGGGUGGCCGAGUGGCUGAAGGCGACGGUUUGCUAAACCGUUAUACGAUCAUCUAAUACCGUAUCAAGGGUUCGAAUCCCUUUCCUUCCG